rnacentral:rRNA from 1 species
AGGACGAACGCUGGCGGCGUGCUUAACACAUGCAAGUCGAGCGGAAAGGCCCUUCGGGGUACUCGAGCGGCGAACGGGUGAGUAACACGUGAGCAACCUGCCCCUGGCUCUGGGAUAGCCUCCGGAAACGGGGAUUAAUACCGGACAUUCUCCGCCUUCCGCAUGGUUGGCGGUGGAAAGUUUUUUCGACUAGGGAUGGGCUCGCGGCCUACCAGCUUGUUGGUGGGUAACGGCCUACCAAGGCGACGACGGGUAG